GAGCCAGUCCGGCUUUGGAUCCGCCGCCAUGUCUAGCUGGGAGCUCCACUGGAGUGCGCGUUACCGUGACAAGCGCGUUCUGACAUACCAUCGCGCACUGUGGAGAUCCGCGAACGCGCAGAGGAUCAUCAAAAAAAAACAUGCAUAGAGAAGGAGAAGACAUGCAAGGAAACGCCCAGGAAUUGACCCAAGGACAACUGCGUUGAGGACUGCAUCCUCUAUAUCUGAUGAGCCUGCUUUACUCCUGAGCCAUGUAUCACUCUACACCAUGAGCAGUCAAAACAAAUUCAAAGAGGUCCAGUCAGAGAAAAGGACUUAAAGCCAAUGUUCGGAAGAUAAUAACAUCUAACUAUUUAGUGUGCCAUAUAUUCGGAAGCUUAGUAGUUGUAUCAUCUCCAUGCAUUGACCUAUCAAGUCAAAUGAGUUGAGUCUGAUUUAAAUACCUCUUGACAAUAUUUAUUGGCCCCUAACAAAGAGCUGGGCAUGUUUGCCGAUAUGUACAGUAUAAUGUUCUCUCAUUUACGGAAUAAAAAAUAAAUACGGGAAAAAAAAUUAAACCUGAAAAUUGUGAAUGUUCAAAUCUUAACUUCAGAAAAAAUAUAAAUUGGAGGAAAAGCUUCAUUUUCCACACAUCUUAAUAGAUGAUCUUUUGGGAAUCUCUUUCUUCUCCUCUUAUAUUCAAAUUUUGAACUUUUGUACUAUGUGAGAGAAGUGAGCUCUUGCUCAUCCUGCCAGGAUGUUAAACCUGGGCUUGCAUGGAGUCGGGGUCAUUCUAGAAUGAGAAUGUAGAAUACUCAUUCGAAGGUGAAACAACAUUUGGUUUACAUUUUGGUCAUUGUGGAGAUAGCUGCCUCACAGUUAUACGUAGAGCUAAACAUGGUCAAGAUCUAUAGGGCUACUUUCCUGAAACCUAGGAAAGCUGUCUCAGGAACCAUUUGGAGAAAAUGGUCGAGUGAGUCUGAAAAACUGCUCUUUCAGGGCCACACCUACUUGGAGAUCCACAAACUGCAUUUAAAGAGGCCUGGCAUUUCCCCAUUUAUAGAGUAACUAAACCCCAAAUCAACUUUUUUUGGCAGAUAAAUUGUAUAAACCUGACUAGCAGACUAACACCUAUCUGGAAAAAAAACAUAUUAAGGGUGUUAUCUUUAUGUUACUGUGCUAUUUUUAUUUAUUUUUUUAAUUGCAUGUAAACUUGUUUCAUUCCGUAAUAUUUGUCCUAAAACUAUCUUAGUGCUGCCCUCUUUUGGUUGAACGGUGGUUACUGCAGUUGAAUUUUCCUACUGGUACAGCUUGGUACAUGCUUACGUCAGACCCCAGCGUUUGGAUAAUAAACCAUCUCACUCCAAACCACCCCAGCAGCAAGUCAGGAGUUGGAAUUGCUCCUCCACUGCCUCGGCAGCGCCAGCAUCAGGCAUCACAGAGUAAGAGCCUGGAGCCAGCGGCUGGAACUAAUGAGGCUCAGGCCUGUUGGGCUCCAUAAAGGCUCUCUUAACGUCCAGUGACGAGGGAGGUGAAAAUUCCUCCACCUCAAAAGAUCCAUGGCUAAACAACCAGCUUUGCUCUGCUCACUUUCUGCGUGUAGCUGACACCCCACCCACGUGAAAAAUUCCAGCAAAGAGAUUGAGCGGUUAUUGCUCCGUUUGUGCUGGUUUGCGCCGCUAAAACUGUUGUUUGCGCUGCUUUCGUUUCUGAGAUAUAAGUUUCAAUUUCAGACGAUCACAUGACUGUUCCUGUGUCUGUGGAAAUGGAUUUCACCAGCUUCAGGCUGUAAUCAGGCACUGUUGUUAGGGUUACGUUGGUUUCAUAUGUUCCAGUACAUCCUAUUCACCAUUUUAGUCAGCGAGAAAGUGAAGUUGGCAGAUGUUACCAAUUCUGGAAGGAAGUCUUUUAAUUCUUUCUGCAGAACAGUGACAUUACGAUGAUAAUGUUUAUGUGUAUUUUAUGGAGCCAUUUAGAGAAAAACUUGUCCAGUCCAAUAUCUGCAAUGCUUCCACUGUGAGGUGUGCUAUAUUUUAGUACUUGCAAAGAUACGAUUGGAUCUUUGUCCCCUAAUUCCAAAUCGUUUCUCUCUUGUUUAACUUUCUACAGUGUGGCAACAUUAGUUAGGUGGCUUAGCUCGGGAUCUCCAACAUCCAUCAGAUCUGCUGCCUUUGCUGACCUUCAUACAGCUGGUUCCAUCUUGCCAUCACACAGGCCUUCUGCAGGUGUCCAGACAGGAACCACUUGGAAUGGCCGGUGUACAUGUUUUGACCUUCUUCCAAAUCUGAUCAGUUAUGACAUGAGUCCAGGUUUCAUUGUGUAUUCCUUUUUCCCAGGUGAGAAAGCUUGUUGUUGUAUUCUUCUUUUUCAGGAAUAAAUUUAAAUUCAAAGAGAACUUUUCUGGGAGAAAUGCAACCUGAGUCUAACGCUGUGUCAACACUAGUUUCAGAAUCACAAUCCUCAUCACUAAUUUCCAAAGAUGACCAGAUGCCUGGUGUCUGUUUAAUUUCACCAAGGUAUACAGGGCCUUUGGAGACAUCUUGUGUUCCUGCUGCUGACUCAGAUCUGCCCAGACAGUGGCAGCUGGUGUGGCUAUUUUAGCAUUUUCGAGUAUGGCCUUUUUUGAGAGUACUGCCAAAAAGGGAAAUCCUGUCCACUGAUGGCUUAUAAUUAAAGAAUACAAAAAGCAAGAGCUAUGAUUAGCAUUGAUCAAAAAAUUAAUUCUGACCUACAUAAUCUGUCUGGCGCCACCAAACAUAUCAAUGUACAGCAAUUUCUGGACACUUACUACUUACAACCUUCAACUUACUACUCACAACCCAAAAACCAUCUGUUCAAAUUAGCCUUCUCACUUUCAUUUCUUGGCCAUUUUUAAAUGUUCUUAAUUUCAGUUUGUUUUAUUAUAAUUUUUUAUUGCUUUUAAAUUUGGAAAGUGUUUUUGGGUGUCUUGAAAGAUGCCGCCAAAUAAAAUGCAUUAUUAUUUUUAGUACUUGGCUUGCAACUGAAAGUACCUGUUCAAUUUUGAAAUGUUCCUUAGCCCUCUAGGGUCAAAGAUGCUCCAAAGCAUCCAUGAAUAAAUAUGAAUGUCAUAUCUGUAA